AUGGAUGUGGACAGGAGUGUGGUAGUCAAAGGAAAGCUUUCUGGCAAAGUGGUGUCUCAGUGCAUCUGGGCUGCCACAACAAGUGUUGCUGUUUCUGCCCAGGGGCCAUCCGUGUUCCCCACCUCUGAGUGCAAAGUCCCAAAGAGAAACACCUACAUGGGCCUGGCCUGCUUGGUGACUGGGUACUUUCCAGAGCCAGUGACGGUCACCUGGGAGCCAGAAACAAGCAACGCAAAGUGGGUGACUUUCCCUUCUAAGAAGAAAGAUCAAACCUACAUCCUGAGCAGUCAGCUCUCUGUGUUGUCCUCAGAGCUGAACUCCAGCUCACCCAAGUGUGUGGUCUCUCACAAAGCCAGCGGCCAGACCAUUGAAAAGACUUUCUCACAGUCUGAGUUGUGGAAGACUCGGCCCCACCCUGGACCCAUUGUAUCUCCCCAAGCAGAGGAGCGUGCCAUAGAAGUCACGCCCACUCCCACCAGGGCCAGUCCCACCACCAUCAAGGACGUAGAAGGGACCAUGGCACCCAGCAACUUCUCUGUGAGCUUCCUCACCACAGCCACCCAUCCACAGAUAUCGUGGCUCCUGUGCGAGGUAUCCGGCUUCUUCCCGGAAGACAUCCGUCUAACGUGGUUGGAGGUCCAAAGCAAGGUGAACCCUUACCAGUUUGCCACCGCACACCCCACCCUCCAGCCUGGGAGCACCACGUUCCAGACCUGGAGUGUCCUACGCAUUCCAUCCACCUCCAGCCCUUCACUCGCCACUUACACAUGUGUGGUAGAACAUGAGGCCUCAAAGACCAAGCUCAAUGCCAGCGGGAGACCGGAAACUGGUGGCACAGUCGUCCCCACCAUCCUGACCCUGUGGGCCAGGGAUGAGCACAGCCCCGACUACACAGACCUGGAGGAUGAGAGCGGCCUGUGGCCCACUCUGUGCACCUUCGUGGCGCUCUUCCUGCUCACGCUGCUCUACAGCGGCUUCGUCACCUUCAUCAAGGUGAAGUAGCCAAGGAAACCGGCGUCUUUAGGCCUCAGAGAAGGACGCUUUUCCCUCACGGGGAUUUCCCUCCAUGGAAAGGAUGCCCUCCAUGACGGAAUUCGACCCCAAGCCCUCCUCCCAACGUCCUUCUGUCCAUGCAGCCUCCCAGACCCAGGACGAUGGACAUCCUUGGCUGCAGACGAAACGGGUGCCCCGCUGCCCUGGCCCUGCCUGU